CCAGCCUGUGGCCAUGGGACGCGCAGUGUCUGCCGGGAGAGGUAGUCUUCUGACUGGGGAGAGCUGUCAUUCUGUGGGGCUGAGGGUGUUCUUCCAGAAAUCUGGAUGGAUGACUGCAGAUUUAGCCACAUAAUGUCAAAUGGUUCCUCACGUUACCAAGGAAAGGGCAUAUGGAGGAAGGUGAAAAUAAAGGAUUUAGAAAUAUUCCACAUAUGUGGGAUCAAUAGAUAACUCAGAGGAACCUCAGAGCUAUGAAGAAUGAUGAAAGAAGUGUCUCACACAUCCUACAAAUAAAAACCACGUUCCUGAGUGGUUCUGCACGUGGACUCCAAUCAAGUUUCAGGCAGUUUCAGCUGAAAUCUCUUCAAGUGUGAGGGUGCGUCAGAGAGACAGGCGUCCUCUCGGGCUUUCUCUGGAGGCUCAGCUUCUUCGGUAAGUCAGCACUUGAGGGGUUCUCAUAGCCCCCCCAGUGUGUUUGUUUCUUAUUGAUUUGGGGAUAUAUUUUGAUAUGGGAUCUGCUAGACUGAAAAUUAGGAAUGUGUGGCUAGACCCUAAAUCUCUUCCUUGUGUGCUUAAUUCCACCAGUCAAAUGAGCUGCAAUUAAAGGCUGGAUAAGGGUUGUAUUUCGCUCACAGCAGCUUUCCCUGCAAGGAAGAGGCCACUGUUGGCACUGAUGUCGGCCUAAAAGCUUCUCUUUGACACAAAAGAGAAGGUGAAGGUGAUAGCAAUGCAGUAGGCAUCAGCCAGAGCUAUGUGGAGAGCGUGUAGGUAUAAGGAUUCUCCCCUGCCACCUAGCGCUGCUACUCGGAUCGAAAGGUCGUGCUCUUUCUGAUGUUCCCAACUGUGUCCCCUCUGUGGCUGAGAAGCCUAGUUGCCUUUUGCAAGGUGAAUUCUUUGUGAUAUAGGAAAGGUUAGUCAUUCCCUGCUGAUUUUCCCUUCUUUUGAAAUUUGGCAACUUCUUGAUCUUUUGGGAAAUGAGUUUUGAUACUCAGAUGCACUGGGAGAUUAAACUGAGGUGGAUCUCAGAUGAAUUUACAUGAAUAUGAACUUUUUAGAAGCAGUUUCAAUUUCACAGUCAGCCUUUUGACCAUUCAACACAGGCUUCUUUAGUAGAUUCUCACCGGUGCUCUGUUCUCAUCCAACUUCUCAGAAAUUGUUCCUUUUAUUACAACAGGCAUUAGGAUGGGCAGAAAUGAAGUCUGAAGGUGCUAGGGCAAACGUCAGUUUUAGCUAUCUGUGUUUAGUGAAUAUUUUGGAGGAAAAUAAUGAUCAUCUGUAUUUGGUACUUCCUUGGGUAAAAUAAGUAGAAGACAGCUGUUGUUCCUUGUAACAGAUGCAGAGAAGUUCCCAUCUUCCCUUUUUCCUCUUAUUGCGAUGUCCUUGAGCUUGAGACCUGUACUAGUCUCUAGAGUCAUGUUUGCUUGUCCUCUGAGUUUGGUAAAUGAAAGAGUUCAUCUCUACAGUACGAAUAAAAACGACUAGUGGUAUUUAUACUUAACUUGAGAAGCAUACCUAAAAAUGUUAUAAAUCUGUUGAGACCUUAUAAAAAGAGCAAAGAUACUAUAUAAAUGCAUUCUUUUUGAAUCUAUUUUCCAGAGAGCCAUUUUAAACUACUACAGUUGAAUUUUUCUGUAUUGUUUAUGUACAAGCUUAAUCUUUUUAAAGAAGUUAUUUUGGGAACUCUAAACUCAUGUUCCUUUGUUGAUUCGAAACUCAGUGAAAUGUGGUAUCCUCUUUUCUGAUCAUCCCAUACAUUUUGGUAGAUUUCAUGUGACAAAGAAAAGCCAGUUGAAACAAAAAAUGUGGAUUGGUUGUGGAAUGCCGAAUGUUAACAAAACAUUGUCAAACAAUUUUGUUGAAUCUCAUGGCUUUCUGUUGCUUGGUGGUGUGGGGGUGUGGAGAGGAGGGAAGAAAAUCUUCGGAAAUUAUUAAACCCUGAUAUUGGUGAAAAUCUAAAAAUUACGAAUUUCCCUAGAAGAAUUCAUCAAAAACAGAUAGCCAUUACAGGUUCUUGAAGGGCCAGCAGCAGUCAUAGUUUCAAAAUGAAUUUAGAUAAGUAAUGCUAAUUGCUAUAUAAAUGGUUUAAAACUAAAAAAUGACAUUCAUUCCAUGUCAAGGGAAAUCUCAUCAUUUCACUUCCUGUAGACAUAUUGUUAUGUGCAUUUUAAAUUUAGAAAUGAUAAUUUCUAACUUAAGUAUGUUUAAAGGAUUAAUUUUUGUGCCUAUUCAGUACAUUUGUGUUAAAAGAGAAAACUGGAUAUGAAUUUGAGAUUUUUGUAUGUGUGUUUCAUGUGGAAUGUGUUCAUGUGUUUACCAUAUGGGAUUAUAGUGCAUUGACUUAAUUUUCAAUGCAGCUGUAAUAAAACAGUCCCAAAAUGAGCCAGGAUGAUGAUAAUGGUGAUAAGUUUACUGGAUGCAUGGCACCAUGCCAUCACAUAUGCAUGUAUUAUCUCACAUCACUUGCAUUCAGUCCCAUGAGGGGAUACCAAUGUUCUCUACUUGACAGAUGAGCACUGAGUCUUCUUUGAGGUAAGUACUUGGAUGUAUCAUGAAGCUGUGAAAUGAUGGAGUUGCGCUCAGACCCAGGACUUGAUGGUUCAUAAAGCUUUGCUACUCCACUUUCAUUUGACUUACCUGCUUAUAUUUUAUGGUGACCCAACACCGUUGACUAAAGCAAGUGAUAAUGAAGCCAGUCAUUUCUCAAAUCCAUAACUAAUUAUUUUUGUUGUGUUGUUUCUUUCAUGACUGCACUCAUAUCUAUACCAGUUGACUGAAGGGAAAAUAUGGUGGAAAAGGUCUGCAAUGUGCUAAAAUUUGGUGUAACACAUCUGGUUAUUUGUGUGGUUUCUCCCUUUAGUUAUUGUUUUUCUAAAAAAGAGAUAACAUAAUGAAAAAUUUUAGGUUUUCCUACAAUGCUGGAAACACAAGUGGGAACCCUAAAAGGCAGAUCCAGACCUCUGAGAUAAGUAGUAAACUUGUCCCUCCACUGCUCAGUGAAGCAGGCAUUCCCAGGUGUUUUAUUUGCACCCUGCAACCAGAAAAAAAAAACAGGAAACAAAAGAUGAUACACACCUGCAGAUCCCCAUCCUCCCAUAUAUACCCAUACCAUGUGCUCAGAGCCAACUUGCCAGGUUUCAAGUACAGGCUGCACCUAGGUCUUUGACUCUGAUAUUUUAAGGCAGAAAGGAAAUGAAAAAAAAAAAAAAAACUUAGAUCAUUCCCUUUGCCUCACUUAUUUUCCAUUAAUAUAAAACUAGGUAAC